CGGAACGAGCAGGACGAGCUUUGGAUGAAUCGAUCUAUUAUCGGGCAAUCUUAUUGGGAAUAACAAGGGCUUCCCUAAAUACCCAAAGUUUCAUAUCUGAAGCAAGUUUUCACAGGACCAAGAGGUACUGGAUUCUCUUUCGGAUAGGCCCUGAAAGGAGAAGAAAGGCUGAAAUGCCAACGGACCUCUGUGCUAAAUAAUUUUGACUUUACUUUUUUUGAUUCUGAAAUCGCCUUCAGCAACUAGUACUCCUGUGAAAUAAUAGGUUAGAUACAUUGACUUUCUAUUCAAAAAAUAUUCGUUGAUUCAAUUAAAAUAAAUAAAAUAAAACUCGCUAUACCUGGCUCUGCAUAUUCAUGCAUUUAUGCUCGUAGCCUAGUACUGUUCGGGGAGUUGAUAAGUUAAUUCCUAUGGAUGUCUACUUGCCGGGCUGCCCACCUAAACCGGAGGCAGUUAUAGAUGCCCUAACAAAACUUCGUAAGAAGAUAUCGCGAGAAAUAGUUGAGGAUCGAACUCUAUCUCAAAAUAAAAAUAGAUGUUUUACUACCAGUCACAAGCUUCAAAUUCAAAGUGGAUUCGCCCUCGGAAACGCUCUGGUGUAAUUGAUUUUUCAUAAGGGUAGUGAAUCGUUAUAGGUAAACGAUUUGUGUGGGAUAAGGGGAACUUGAGUCUGAUUCUAUUUUUCUAUUCGAGCCCUUUUUCCUAUUCUUUUGUAUAUAGUUCUUGAUACAAUCCCUUAUUUUUUUUAUCUUCCUGUAGACCUUCAGAAUAAUUUUUUGGUUGUGCGAACCAAAAGGAAUGGUGUUUUUGGGUUGUACCAAGUCUGAAACCGAGUGGAUUUAUUUUUUGUCCCAUAUUUUUCCAUUCUAUAUUUUUUUACUGGGAAUCAAAAUCUUAGAUGGAUCUAAAGGUUAUUUAGAUUUCUUUACUAUAUUUAGUACAAUUGUUAUAUGACACAUGCUUUUUUUAAUGGGGAAACUACGUCCUCGAGCUCGAGGUCUGAAUUUCUUCAUAAUAGUACUCCUACUGACUUCGGCUUUAGUAAUAAAUAAAUUCGCUUUGUCAAAAUCCCUAUAAUGAGUAGCAUUUGCGGCUGCCGAAUAAACCAACUUUAAGAUGGGAUAAGAUGCUCGAUAGGGCAUGAGGUUCAGUAUCAUAACAGUUUCCUCGUAGUAACGCCUGCGAAUCUCGUCAAGAACUCUUUGUGCUUUGAAAACAGACAUAGGGAUACGUUUUUGUGCUUUGAAAACUCUCUCGAACUUAAGUAGACGAUCGGUUGGAACUUUCCUUGCGAGUUUCCUUAGCCCACUUUUCUUCUUCUUUAUCCUAGGGAUAUACUUUACUAGUUUGAAACUUGUCAUAAAUAAGGUUAUUCCCCGCCUACCUUUACUUUAUUUUGAAUCUUUUUUUUCUUCUUAAUCUUUCUAUUCAGAAUUCAGUUAACGACGAGAUUUAGUAUCCUUUCUUGCAUUUUCAUAACUCGUGAAAUGCCGAGUAGGCACGAAUUCCCCCAAUUUGCGACCUACCAUAGGAUUUGUUAUGUAAAUAGGUAUAUGUUCCUUUCCAUUAUGAAUCGCGAUUGUAUGGCCAACCAUUGUGGGUAGAAUGCUAGAUGCCCGGGACCACGUUACUAUUGUUUCUUUCUCCUCCUUCAUAUUGACCUUUUCUAUCUUUGCCAAUAAAUGAUGAGCUACAAAAGGAUUCGUUUUUUUUCGUGUCACAGCUGAUUACUCCUUUUUUCCUUUUUAAAGAGUGGCAUUCUAUGUCCAAUAUCUCGAUCGAAGUACGGAGGUCAGAAUAAAUAGAAUAAUGAUCAAUGGAAAAAAGCAAAAAAUCCUUUAGCUGGAUAAGGGGCGGAUGUAGCCCGAGGAAACCUUUGCACGCCUCCGUUACCUUUUGGGAGGCCUACGCCCCAUAGAUACUUAAUUAUAUCAUAAGAAUCUUAAGAUAUUUUUCGACUAGAUAGAAAUAGUAAAUUUGAAUUGAGACACCUAUUCCAUGACGGAUAUGCUGUUCUAUAUCUCCAUGAAUCUAGGAACUUUUGCUUGGGCCUGCGAUUCCGUAGAAAGACAUCACGACCCCCUGCGGAAAAAAAAGAAUUUCUUGAGAUGGAAGUAUAGAUAUAAUAUUCUUACCAAGAUAACUGGAAAUCCCAACCGGGUAUAUUAGCGGGCUUAUUCCAUCUUAGUGUCCGUCCGCCUCAACGUCGCAGCAGGAAAUUCUUUGUCCUUGAAUCAAGGUAUUCAGGAAGAACAGGUUGUUCCGGCUAGAUACCGUCAAGAAUUCUUGACUGAAUUUGUUAGGAGUAAAUUCCUUGAACUGAUUGAUCCAUGGCCUUAGGGCGGAAUCCCUUUUUGACUCAGAACAAGAACCUUUUUAAAGCGUAUCAGCCGACCCGGUUUACGAAUUUAUACCAACUAUCAAGGAAUUCCUAAAGUUUUGGGUGGAAUGGGAAAUCUUUUCGAGUGCUCGUUCGAGAACUACGAUCUUUGGCUCUAGA
rnacentral:lncRNA from 1 species